rnacentral:rRNA from 1 species
UGGGGAAUAUUGGACAAUGGGCGAAAGCCUGAUGCAGCAACGCCGCGUGAGCGAUGAAGGCCUUUGGGUCGUAAAGCUCUGUCCUUGGGGAAGAAACAAAUGACGGUACCCAAGGAGGAAGCCCUGGCUAACUACGUG